UCGCUCGCGCGCCACAUCAACGCCGGGACACCUUAGCCAGGGCGCCGCGUGCCCCCCCCCCUCCCCCCGGUCCCCCUCCACCCGACCGGCGGACACGGCCCCGACCUCCCGAGGAGGUGCGCAGGCGCGGGCGUGUGGGCGGGGGCUCCGCCCACAAGGGGGCCGGGCGGGCGGGAAAGUACGGCCGGUUCGCAUGCGGGCGGUCGCUCGUGUCGGCGCGGGAACGCAAAAUAAUGGCGGGAAGACGGUAGCAGAGAACGAGGAAGAAACGGGCGACGACUGAGCAAACGACCAAUGGCACGGAUGGACGGACGUAUUUAAGAAGAAAGUAGGGGGGGGGGGGGGGAACCCAGGCAAAGAAGGAAAGAAAGAAAGAUGGAGAGAGUGAGAGAGAGAUGAGAGAGAGAGAGAGAGAAAUAAAGAGCGAGCGAACAAACGAAGGAACGAAUGUGGGGGAGAAAAAGAGAAAAAGGAGCGGGGGGCAGAUCAGGUGGAGCGGAUACAGGGGAUUGGGGGGGGGGGGUGCCGGGCACCGGACGCCAAGUCGAGUCACUAUCCGGCCGAGCCAUCGGAAGGGGGGGACACCUUUUUUUUUUUUUAAAAAAAAAAAAAAAAAAAAGGGGGGGGGGGGGGAAUAGGGGAAAAAAAUCAAUUUAAAAAAAAAAAAAACGGGAAAAGAAAAAUCAAAAAUCAUUAAAAAAAAAAUGCAGAAAAGGUUGCCAGGGCGGGGUGCCGGGGGGGGGGGGGGUUGGUGUUGAAGCUCUGUCUGCCAGGUCUACCCGCCACCUCGGCACUGCAGCCACUUCCCGACAGAGGGGGGGGGCGUGCUGGGCUGGGCCGGGCCGGGCCUACUCACGCGCGCACACACACGGAAAGAAAUGCACGAACGAAUGAAUAAAAAAAAUUAAAAAUUUGAAAAGACUUAAAAACCGAAAAUGUAAAAUAAUAUAAAAAUAAAAAAUAAAUCGACUGACGAAUCCAAUAAAAAAAUUAAAAAUUGAAAAUAGGGACAAAAAAGGAAUUCUUAAAAUAUUAACUAAAAAAAAAAAAUUAAUUAAAAAAUGAAAAAAAAUUAAAAAAAAAAAAAGGAAAAGGCAAUUUAAAAAAAAAUUAAAGUCAAUUUAAAUUUUUUUUUUUUAAAAAAGUCAAAAAUAAGAACAAAAACGGCGAGGGGGGGGGUGGUGGUCGUAAAGCCGGCCGCCAGGUCUACCCACUGCCUCGGCACCGCAGCCACUUACCGACGGGGGGGGGGGGGCGUGCUGGGCCGGGCCGGGCCGGGCCGGGCCUACUCACGCGCGCACGCACACGGAAAGAAAUGCACGAACGAAUGAAUAAAAAAAAAAAAUUUUUUUUUUUAAAUAAAAACCCCGAAAAUGUAAAAAAAAAAAAAAAAAAAAAAAUAAAUCGACUGACGAAUCCAAUAAAAAAAAAAUUAAAAAUAAAAAGUAGGGACAAAAAAGGAAUUCUUAAAAUAUUAACUAAAAAAAAUUAAUUAAAAAAUGAAAAAAAAAAGAAAAAAAAAGAAAAAGGCAAUUUAAAAAAAAUUAAAAAAAAAGUCAAUUUAAAAAAAAUUUAAAAAAAAAGUCAAAAAUAAGAACAAAAACGGCGAGGGGGGGGGUGGUGGUCGUAAAGCCGGCCGCCAGGUCUACCCACUGCCUCGGCACCGCAGCCACUUCCCGACGGGGGGGGGGGGCGUGCUGGGCCGGGCCGGGCCGGGCCGGGCCGGGCCUACUCACGCGCGCACGCACACGGAAAGAAAUGCACGAACGAAUGAAUAAAAAAAAAAAUUAAAAAAAUUAAAAAAAAAUAAAAAACCGAAAAUGUAAAAAAAAUAUAAAAAUAAUAAAAAAUAAAUCGACUGACGAAUCCAAGAAAAAAAUUAAAAAUUGAAAAUAGGGACAAAAAAGGAAUUCUUAAAAUACUAACUAAAAAAAAUUAAUUAAAAAAUGAAGAAAAAAAGAAAAAAUUAAAUAAAAGAAAAGGAAAAAAAACAAUUUAAAGAAAAUUAAAAAAAAAAACAGGAAGGAAAAAAACCCUCAAAAAUAACAAAAACGGGGUGGGGGGGGGGGGGGGGGGGGGUUCGUACUGCCGGCCGCCAGGUCUACCCGCCACCUCGGCACCGCAGCCACUUGCCGGCGGGGGGGGCGUGCUGGGCCGGGCCGGCCGGCCGACAGGUCUACCCCCGGACCCGCCUAGGGAGAAAAAAAAAAAAAAAAAAAAAACGCCCGACAGGUCAACCCCCCGAAGGGGGACGCGGAGCGCCCCCUAGCCCGGCCGGCCGCCAGGUCAACCCCCGGGCUCGGGUAAAACGGAGGGAGCCCGUCCCACGGCACGCGCCGCGGGGACGGAAACGGGGAAGGGGGCCGGCCGCGCCCCCCGCCCCUCUCCCCCUCUUUCCAACCCCGCGCCGGCGCCGGCGCGGGGCCGGGGAAGGAAGGAACGAACGAACGAACGAACGAACCCAGGAACAAACGGAGCGGCGCGGGGAGCCGACCGACUGGCCCGCCGGACCCGGCCCCGCGCCGGGGCGCCGCCACGCGCGCGCGCGCGCGCUCCGCGCUCCGACAAAAGCUUGUGUCGAGGGCUGACUCUCAAUAGAUCGCAGCGAGGGAGCUGCUCUGCUACGUACGAAACCCCGACCCAGAAUCAGGUCGUCUACGAAUGAUUUAGCACCGGGUUCCCCACGAACAUGCGGUACGCGGCGGGGGAGAGGCGGCGCCACAUCUGUCCGCGCUCCGGUCCCGACCACGAGCGGCGCUCCGCACCGACCGCCCGCCCGAGGGGGGCGGCGGCCGGCUAUCGCGAGCCCACCGAGGCGCCUCGGCGCUGCGGUAUCGCUACGUUUAGGGGGGAUUCUGACUUAGAGGCGUUCAGUCAUAAUCCCACAGAUGGUAGCCUCGCUCCAGUGGCUCCUCAGCCAAGCACAUACACCAAAUGUCUGAACCUGCGGUUCCUCUCGUACUGAGCAGGAUUAC
ensembl:lncRNA